AUGAGAUAUAAAGGAAUCAUAAAAUGACUCGAUUCUGGAUUUCAGUUCUGCUCUUUAGGACCAUGUAUACAGUCGAGUCUGAUAAACGUUGUGUUACUACAAAAUCCCCCCCAAAUCCAGAUGUUUAUCAGGCUGAAGAAAAGCUCAGUGUGAAUAUCGGAGCCUCGGCUACUCUACAGUGUUGUGUUUUAGGAAUAGAAAACGGAGAAGUUAUCUGGUUUAAGCAACAAAAUGAAAAACAGCCUCAGGUUAUAGUCAGAUUCUUUAACACAGCUGGAGAAAUGUUUUACAAAGAAUUCCAAAAUUCUCGUUUUCAAAUUAAAAGGUUUGGACACUGCUUCAAUUUGACCAUUUUAAACACCACCCUGUGUGAUGAAGCCACAUAUUACUGUGCACUCGUGUCUACUGAUGGAACUCGUUUACAAAUGAAAGGUGAGCGUGUUAACGCUGAAACAUCUAAAGCAGCUCUGUGUGAUAAUUCAGUGGUGUGUGAACCAACACCGCAUGGAAACAACACUAACACCGACACACAACACAACACAGAUAAGAUUACUUAUAGCUUUAUAAAUCAUAAUAAAUACUUGAGCUCAUAACAGUAUUGAUUACUGAUCAGAUCUCUACAUCGGACAGUGAUCGGUUUGGGAUCGGCUUUGGGUUUGUGCGCACUUCUGAUUUUCUGUCUCACUUGUUUCAUACUGAGGAGAAGAAAAGGUGAUAAAAGUAAGUGUUUUUCUCAUCAGAUUAUAAUCAGUUCAGUUCUGUAAAAAUGACUAACAGUUUUCUUUUUUUCUUCUUAAUAGUGAAUUCUCCAGAAAGGAGGAAGAAUUCUCAUUUCGACACUUUGACUUAUGCAGCAUUGAAGAGAAGUGAAUUUUGCUUGUCAGACAAUUUGGUGUACUCCGAAGUGAUGUAUAUGAAACUGUAAUAUAUAAAAUAGCUGAUAAUAAUUGUUGUUGUUGUUGUUGUUGUUGUUAUAUCUUCCAAAUGAUUAUAAAUAAUCAAUUAAA